CCGCAUAAGCCUGCUGUGGUGAGAUCAGGUGAAUGUGGGUAUCGAUACCCGCCGCUGUCAGGAUCAGAUGCUCACCGGAGAUAGCAUCAGUCGAUACCCCGGCAACCAUUCCCGGGGUGAUACCGUCCUGCAGGUUCGGGUUACCGCUCUUGCCGAUACCGACAAUUUUACCGUCCUUCACACCCACGUCCGCUUUGAUGACGCCUAAUUUGGCAUCCAGGAUAGUGACGUUGGUGAUAACCAGGUCGAGCACGCCGUUGUCGCUGGUCAGCGUGUUGUUCGCGCCCAUCCCGUCACGG
rfam:Morganella morganii subsp. morganii KT, complete genome.